rnacentral:lncRNA from 1 species
CCUAUCCCUCCUAGCCUCCUCCCCGGCCUCUUAAUCAAGCUCGAGGAGCUACAGUUCCAUCCAAUCGCCGCCACGGCCGCCGCCUUGGUCCUCCCAAAUUGGAGCUGCCCCGAACCUCUCAUGUCCAUCUUCUGUGACCAGAGGAACCCCCAAGGUUCGUUAACCCUUACCCAAUUCUCUACCCCGCCUCUGGUGCACUAUGGUGACAUGCCCAACCUCGCCGGAGCCGCCUUCCGCCGUGGCCAAUGCCCCGCCUGACUCCGAGCUCUCUGGCGCUCGUGUGGUACCGGGACGGAUGCGGCGGUUCACCCCAGGGCCUCCGGUGCCCUCCCCGCAGCCCGAGGUGGUUGGAGUUGGCCAGACGUGCGCCGGCGCCGUGCAGUCUCGCCGGUGCCUCUGUUCGUCGGGAGGAGAGAGAGAGGACCCGACAGGUGGGGUCGGGACCCACCUGUCGGCGGCUGGAGGACCGCCAGCUGGUUNN